UACGGAGGGUGCAAGUGUUAUUCGGAUUUACUGGGCGUAAAGAGCACGUAGGCGGAUAGGUCAGUCAGAUGUGAAAGCCCGGAGCUUAACUCCGGAACUGCAUUUGAUACUACUUGUCUUGAGUAUGGUAGAGGGGGGUGGAAUUCCCGGUGUAGAGGUGAAAUUCGUAGAUAUCGGGAGGAACACCAGAGGCGAAGGCGACCCCCUGGGCCAUAACUGACGCUGAGGUGCGAAAGCGUGGGGAGCAAACAGG
rnacentral:rRNA from 1 species